CCUACGGGUGGCAGCAGUGGGGAAUAUUGGACAAUGGGCGCAAGCCUGAUCCAGCCAUGCCGCGUGUGUGAAGAAGGCCUUCGGGUUGUAAAGCACUUUCAGUGGGGAAGAAAGCCUUGGGGCUAAUACCCUCGAGGAAGGACAUCACCCACAGAAGAAGCACCGGCUAACUCCGUGCCAGCAGCCGCGGUAAUACGGAGGGUGCGAGCGUUAAUCGGAAUUACUGGGCGUAAAGCGCGCGUAGGCGGUCUGAUAAGCCGGUUGUGAAAGCCCCGGGCUCAACCUGGGAACGGCAUCCGGAACUGGCAGGCUAGAGUGCAGGAGAGGAAGGUAGAAUUCCCGGUGUAGCGGUGAAAUGCGUAGAGAUCGGGAGGAAUACCAGUGGCGAAGGCGGCCUUCUGGACUGACACUGACGCUGAGGUGCGAAAGCGUGGGUAGCAAACAGGAUUAAAUCCCCCGGUAGUC
rnacentral:rRNA from 1 species